rnacentral:rRNA from 1 species
AUUGAACGCUGGCGGCAGGCCUAACACAUGCAAGUCGAGCGCGCGGCGCACGGGUGAGUAAUGUAUGGGGACUCCCCGAUAUAGGGGGAUAACUCCUGGAAACGGUAGCUAAUACCGCAUACUCUCGGAUAACCCCUAUGUGAUGAGCUAUUGGUUGGGGUAAUGGCUCACCUAGGCGACGAUCCCUAGCUGGUCUGAGAGGAUGAUCAGCCACACUGGGACUGAGACACGGCCCAGACUCCUACGGAGGCAGCAGUGGGGAAUAUUGCACAAUGGGCGCAAGCCUGAUGCAGCCAUGCCGCGUGUAUGAAGAAGGCCCUAGGGUUGUAAAGUACUUUCAGUGGGGAGGCGUUACCGGCAGAAGAAGCACCGGCUAACUCCGUGCCAGCAGCCGCGGUAAUAC